AAACGGCGGCCGUAACUAUAACGGUCCUAAGGUAGCGAAAUUCCUUGUCGGGUAAGUUCCGACCUGCACGAAUGGCGUAAUGAUGGCCAGGCUGUCUCCACCCGAGACUCAGUGAAAUUGAACUCGCUGUGAAGAUGCAGUGUACCCGCGGCAAGACGGAAAGACCCCGUGAACCUUUACUAUAGCUUGACACUGAACAUUGAGCCUUGAUGUGUAGGAUAGGUGGGAGGCUUUGAAGUGUGGACGCCAGUCUGCAUGGAGCCGACCUUGAAAUACCACCCUUUAAUGUUUGAUGUUCUAACGUGGACCCGUAAUCCGGGUUGCGGACAGUGUCUGGUGGGUAGUUUGACUGGGGCGGUCUCCUCCUAAAGAGUAACGGAGGAGCACGAAGGUUGGCUAAUCCUGGUCGGACAUCAGGAGGUUAGUGCAAUGGCAUAAGCCAGCUUGACUGCGAGCGUGACGGCGCGAGCAGGUGCGAAAGCAGGUCAUAGUGAUCCGGUGGUUCUGAAUGGAAGGGCCAUCGCUCAACGGAUAAAAGGUACUCCGGGGAUAACAGGCUGAUACCGCCCAAGAGUUCAUAUCGACGGCGGUGUUUGGCACCUCGAUGUCGGCUCAUCACAUCCUGGGGCUGAAGUAGGUCCCAAGGGUAUGGCUGUUCGCCAUUUAAAGUGGUACGCGAGCUGGGUUUAGAACGUCGUGAGACAGUUCGGUCCCUAUCUGCCGUGGGCGCUGGAGAACUGAGGGGGGCUGCUCCUAGUACGAGAGGACCGGAGUGGACGCAUCACUGGUGUUCGGGUUGUCAUGCCAAUGGCACUGCCCGGUAGCUAAAUGCGGAAGAGAUAAGUGCUGAAAGCAUCUAAGCACGAAACUUGCCCCGAGAUGAGUUCUCCCUGAGACUUAGAGUCUCCUGAAGGAACGUUGAAGACGACGACGUUGAUAGGCCGGGUGUGUAAGCGCAGCGAUGCGUUGAGCUAACCGGUACUAAUGAACCGUGAGG
rnacentral:rRNA from 1 species